UCCUUCGUGGCGCAAUUGGCUAGCGCGUUCGACUGUUAGCUUGUCUUCGGACUCCUGCGAUCGAGAGGUUCCUAGUUCAAGCCUAGGCGGGGGAG